rnacentral:lncRNA from 1 species
AUGCCGGCAUGCGGGAGCGACGGGCAAGCGCAGCUGUAUCCAAUGGCCAAUGGUGGACAGGGUGCUGGGGGAGGGCGUCGCCAGCGGUCCCGCGUCACGGAGAUGCGGCACCGCUGCUCCAAGGGAUUGGGCCGGCCGGUGCCGCGCAACCGUCCAGCGGGACCGAGCCGGUGCCGCGCUUCGGCUCUGCGGAACCGAGCCGGUACCGCGUGGCCCUCUCCUGUUCCGCGGGAGCGCGCUGGUGCCGUUUGUCUAAGCCGCCGGACCGACGCUGUCUACCCCACCCUGCGCGACCGCUCGAGCCUCCGGUCCCGCACAUCCAACCUGCGCUUGCCCGUCGCUCCCGCAUCCCGGCGUCGCGUGUUAGUUAUAUUUUCGCAAAUUCACCACAUGCAUAUAUAUAAACGUAAAUUAUUAAUAAAAAACGGAUAUUUUCAAAUUUUUUUUCGAUACCUGACUGCCACCGAAUCAAUUAGUGAUUAACUAUCCUAAU